rnacentral:rRNA from 1 species
UGCAGAAUCCCGUGAACCAUCGAGUCUUUGAACGCAAGUUGCGCCCGAAGCCAUCCGGCCGAGGGCACGUCUGCCUGGGUGUCA